rnacentral:pre_miRNA from 1 species
GUGUCCUCUAGAGUUCCCUUGACCACUUCAUUGGGAGAUAACUUGAUCUAUCAAUUCUCCCACUGAAGUGUUUGGGGGAACUCCCGGUGGCAU